rnacentral:lncRNA from 1 species
UGUCGGAGGUUCCAGGCAGGUUCCAGGAAUUUAUCAGGAGCGAGGCGGAUUCGCCCCGCCCCCGUUGCCGCCUCGGACACACCCCGGACACGCCCCUGCAAUCCUGGCCUGGGCUCUGAUUUAAGGAAUGCCCCGCCCCGAACCCGCCCUUCCUCCACCCGGUCCCGCCCCUUUUCGCCGCGCCUUGCCCCCUCCCAACCAUGGAACCCGCGCGCCCGUCGGAGCCUAGAACCAUGGGAGCCGUUACAAGACAUGUAGAGGCUUAACCUGGUUUGCCACAAUGCUGGACCCUUUUCAAGAUUUUAAGAUGUAUAUGAAGAAGUAUUGCACCAGAAUAUUAAAAGAUAUGUAAUAUUUUAUUGAUAAAUAUAUCCUUUAAAAGGAGUACAUUUUAGGACAUCAUCAUUUUGAUGUGAAUGUAAGUGGCUAUUUAUUAUACAUUUAGUGUUUUAAGAGACUCACCCAAUUGCCUUUUUGCCCAUAUAUAUUAUAUAGGCUAUUUGGCAAUUUUUUAAACAGUGACAUUAAAGAAUAGUUUAUGUAGAGAAACCUUAGUGGUUGUUAAUUGUCUCCUCACCUGUAUCCAUGGGUUAGUUCAAUUGCUUUGCUAGUUACAAAGCAGUAUCAGAGUAAAAGUGUAUUUGUAAACUGUAUGGGAACUAAAAAUUGGGAAUAAAACCAUUUUAGUUUUAAAAAAAGAUGACUUA